UACGUAGGUGGCAAGCGUUGUCCGGAUUUACUGGGCGUAAAGAGCGCGCAGGCGGUCGUUCAAGUCGCGUGUGAAAGCCCCCGGCUCAACUGGGGAGGGUCACGCGAUACUGAUCGACUCGAAGGCAGGAGAGGGAAGUGGAAUUCCCGGUGUAGUGGUGAAAUGCGUAGAUAAUCGGGAGGAAUACCAGUGGCGAAGGGCGCUGUCCCUGGACGAAGAAUUGACGCUGAGGUGCGAAAGCGUGGGAGCAACAGGG
rnacentral:rRNA from 1 species